rnacentral:rRNA from 1 species
GCUAAUACCGGAUAAAAAGACUACUUUCGUCAUGAAAGAAGUUUAAAAAAAGGUACGGCGUAAAGCUGUCGCUAAAGGAUGGACCUGCGAUGCAUUAGCUAGUUGGUAAGGUAAACGGACGUUACCAAGGCGAUGAUGCAUAGCCGAGUUGAGAGACUGAUCGGCCACAUUGGGACUGAGACACGGCCCAAACUCCUACGGGAGGCAGCAGUAGGGAAUCUUCCACAAUGGACGCAAGUCUGAUGGAGCAACGCCGCGUGAGUGAAGAAGGUUUUCGGAUCGUAAAGCUCUGUUGUUGGUGAAGAAGGAUAGAGGUAGUAACUGGCCUUUAUUUGACGGUAAUCAACCAGAAAGUCACGGCUAACUACGUGCCAGCAGCCGCGGUAAAU